UAAGGAAUAUUGGACAAUGGACGAAAGUCUGAUCCAGCCAUGCCACGUGCAGGAUGACAGCCCUACGGGUUGUAAACUGCUUUUAUACAGGAAGAAACACUCCGACGUGUCGGAGCUUGACGGUACUGUAAGAAUAAGGAUCGGCUAACUCCGUGCCAGCAGCCGCGGUAAUACGGAGGAUCCAAGCGUUAUCCGGAAUUAUUGGGUUUAAAGGGUCCGCAGGCCGUUUGUUAAGUCAGAGGUGAAAUCCUACCGCUCAACGGUAGAACUGCCUUUGAUACUGGCAAACUUGAGUUAUUGUGAAGUAGUUAGAAUGUGUAGUGUAGCGGUGAAAUGCAUAGAUAUUACACAGAACACCGAUUGCGAAGGCAGCUUACUAAGCUAUGAUUGACGCUGAGGUACGAAAGCGUGGGGAGCGAACAGGAUUAGAUACCCUGGUAGUCCACGCUGUAAACGAUGAUCACUCGUUGUUGGCGAUACAUUGUCAGCGACUGAGCGAAAGCAUUAAGUGAUCCACCUGGGGAGUACGAUCGCAAGAUUGAAACUCAAAGGAAUUGACGGGGGCCCGCACAAGCGGAGGAACAUGUGGUUUAAUUCGAUGAUACGCGAGGAACCUUACC
rnacentral:rRNA from 1 species